AGACUCUGAUGUCUUUUAGUUCUCAUAAUUAGUUUUCAUAGUUAUCAUAUGUAAUUAGACUGGAGUUGGCCAAUAUCUUUGAGCUAAUUUGAAAACAGAACUGCAGCCCAUGCAAAGCUUCUUUGCAACAUGGAAUCCUCUUCAGCAUCUUACGCUCUUUGACUACCAACUUCCUUGUCAUCUGUCUCCUACUGCAAUGUGUGGGCCCAGGUAUGCACUUCACUUCAGCCCCAGCGUUCGUCCUGUGGAAGUCCUGAUGGUUAUUCUUGCUUCUGCAAUCCUACUGAGCAAAGCCAGAUUUUCUUCCAAGCUCAGGAAUAAUUUUUAUUCUUGCAGUCAACACUAAGGAAGUAAGUAGAAGUUUCCCAACUUUCUCCAUUUAUAAUCCUCAUAGUGUCUCAGUAAUUUUUUCCAGUACCCCCAGGCCAAAAGCAGUACUGAACUGCUCUUUUUAUUAAGUACUCAUGCCCAAACGACUUACUAAGUAUUUAUGGCCAACAACUUUGUAACUGUUAGGGAAAAAAUUGUACAAUCAAUUAAAAGAAAGGUUAGAAUACUUCAUUCUUAAACAACCAUCAUUAUUUACCAAUGGGAUGUGUACCCCAGCACAAUUUCUCAAGCCUUGGAGCAGAUUGGGCACAACUCUUAUUUUCCUGUUACAUAUUUAUUUUCAUAGGCAAUUGCUUUUUCUCACAAUUGAUAAAAACCUAGUUUCGUGAGCAGGUGACAUCACUGAAAGAAAUGUGGAGCAAUCUAUUCCAGAAAUAUGAACUAUCUAGUCAUCUGUGCAGUGUCCCACAGAUGUCCAGUAUCACUGGGUCACCCUCAAAAAUGUAGAAUAUUCUCUACGGCAUUACUCCAGGGUGUUGGGCUGUACACUUUAGAGACUGUGACACUGAGUUCUAGAGACUUCCAGUCUUCUUUGUAGAACAGCAACAAGAAGUUGAGUUGAUGCUAAAAAUCUUUUCAUAAGGGUGAAGGCUAGUAUAGUUCAUUUUGUAGCAUUAUGUUCUAUUUCGGUUUAUAAACUGGGUGAUCACAUUGUUAUUUUCCAGCCAUUCUAGGAGACUUUAAAGAGGACAAGGAGUGCUACCGUGACAGGAUUCUGGGACAAGAAAUGUAAACAAGGACUGUCCUGGGCAUCUGGAUACCAGGUCAGUGAGGUCUCUCCUAACACUGCCCUGAACCUUGAAGCCUGGAUCACGGGCCUCAUCACAUGCUGCAGCGGCCCUGGGAAAGCACAGGAUCUUCCAGGGAUUCAAACCAGCCACAGGUGACCUCUGGGGAGGUCGCCACUCACUGUGCUUACCUGGAGUCUUCAGGGCUCAGCGCAGUCUGUGCAGGCAGGAAGGGAAGCAAGAGUGGGUGGCUCGGAAAGUCAGCUUAGACUCAAAUGUGGUGAGCCCCGUCCACCCCUCCUGCUUUGGUGGUCUGGCUAAAAUUCAUACUUUACUUAAUUUCCUCUUCCUUAGGCAAUCCCUGUGUUGCCAUGAUGUCACAUCUGCUCUCCUGUUUUCCAGCAGGAGGGAAAUGGAGGAAUUAAGUGCAGACACAGUAGGCCGCCAGGCGUUUGGCCUCGAGGCUCACACCAAGAAGUAAGGGGGCCUUCUACCCUUCCAGCCUGGACAUUUUCACCUGAAGUACAAGGAGAGAUAAUCAAGGAUAUCUUGCUUUAUCCCCCAGCCUCAUUCCCAGGAGUCAGAUAUCACGUCCCAGGCCAGAACAAGUCAUGUGGCCACAGCCAGUGUGUCGUGUGGGGAGGUCUAAUCCUACUGCACAGGAUAAAAGAUCUGGAAAUGUUUGGAAAUAGCACCAGUGACUACCCCAGCCAGGAGAUGGGAACCAGGAAUUGGACCCAGGCACCACUGGGGAGAGAAGUUUACAAAGCACAUACCAGACGAGACAGCAGGAGCCAGGCGCUGCACAUCACCGCCUCUCGCUGGGGCUGUGCAGCUGCCACCAGGAGGCCCAGAAUUCCUUGCGGAGCUUCUUGGCUACAAGAAACUUACAAGGUCUUCUAAUGUAAGUAUCAAGCCCCUGCUUUUAUCCUUCUUUUUGUCUGUCUGGGGACCAGGAGCUCACCAAGUCCUCAGGCAGCCUUGUCUGUCAUUGGAUUUUCCAGCUAGAAAGAGUUUCUUGAGAAUGAGCUGAAAUGUGCCUCUCUGAACUUCCUUCUCAGACCACACACAACAAUUCUAAUGCCCCUUUCUCAAAACAGCCCUUCACAUUUUUUAAGAUGGCAUUCAUGUUCCCCCUGAGUC